CAUGAAUAAUGACACACUCUCUACGGCAGUCCAAGGUAUGGCUGAAAUUGGUGGAAUUUGCACAGAGAAUAAAGUGGCCAUCGGAGAAGACAAACCUUACCUGUUCAGUGGAGUCACAACAAUGGCACAUGAAAUUGGCCAUUUGCUUGGAAGUGACCAUGAUGGCUGUCCAGGGGCUCAAAAUUGCUCUGCCAAAUGGGGAAAUCUAAUGUCCAAUGUAGAUGCUGGCAUGCACAAUAAGUCAAUACUGUCAGAGUGCAGUAUUCGUCAGAUCU